GUUUCCCUUCAAACUGCGUCAUCUUCAACAAAACCCUAGAAAGAUGGAAACUUGGCGCCUUCAAGUCUAUGUUUCGAAAUUUAUUUUGAUUUUCAGAGGACUGAUUUGAGAAGUAGAAAGGAAUCCUUGCGAAGUUUCCAUUAUCGAGUGCAAUUACAGCUCUGGGAUUAUUCAAAGAAGAAUUCUCCUUCAUCCUUCGACGAGAGAUUUUUAUGAUUCGAAAGAUAUCCUUGCAAAAGUAUCAAUGAUCGAGUGCCUGUGAGUACACUGAUUUCUACUCAAAUUGCACCUUCAAUUGAAUAGAUUAAUACUGAUCUCAUUUAUUA